UAGUAAGAGUAGAAUGGGCAUAAGCGAGUAAGGAAGUAGACCUAGUGGAAUCCUUAGUCAUAGAGCGAGUGAUCAUAGAAUGGGUACGGGGAGGCAGCGGAGCCACAGAAGAUGAAAGAGAAGAGACAGUAGCAAGCUGAGGAGGUGGAUUAUUAGAGGAGGUAGGUGGCACAUCAGUAGCGGAUGGAGAAGGAGCAGCAGGCCGGCUGGCGUGUCGUCUAGUAUAGACCCGGAGCUCAGAUGGACCAAUAACAGUGGCAACAUUCUCAGGACCAACCUGUGGAGCAUCAGAAUGCAAGCUAGAAGGAAAUAUUGAUAAGUCCUCAGACGGUGAAACCGAUGUGUGUGAACCAAUAUCAGGAGGAGGGCAUGUGAAGUAGAAG
rnacentral:lncRNA from 1 species